rnacentral:lncRNA from 1 species
GGGUCCAUGGGGGUUAGAGCAAAUGGUUCCUUUUAGAAUCCAAAUUUGUUUAUUUAAAGUUUGGUCAAUUUUUUUAAUAUUACAUUCAAAAAUUUUGUGAUCAAUUUCAUUACAUUUAAAACAUUUAAUGAAAUGAUUUUUAAGUAAAGCUUUUGUGAGCUUAUUUUUUUAUAAAAUUUUAUUUUCUUAAAAGAUUAUACUCAAUUCUUGUAUUAUUGAAAAUAGCUUUUUGAUUGUUCAAACUAGAUUGAAGCUUAUGAGAUCCAAUUAUAAACUUUUCAAACAUGGGUUUCAAAUUUUCAAUCUGUUUUCUUAGUUUGUCAUUUUC